rnacentral:rRNA from 1 species
AGUAGACCUUGGAGUCGGGUUGUUUGUGAAUGCAGCCCAAAGUGGGUGGUAAACUCCAUCCAAGGCUAAAUACUGACACGAGUCCGAUAGCAAACAAGUACCGUGAGGGAAAGUUGAAAAGUACUUUGAAGAGAGAGUAAACAGUGCGUGAAACCGUUCAGAGGUAAACGGGUGGAGUUGAACUGCAAACUCUGAGGAUUCAGCUGGUGAGUGUGGUUUGAGCUUGGGUAUACUGGUCGGCCGAUCAAGUUCGCUUAAUUGCGGGUCCCUGUCAUUGGCGGGGAUGCGAGGGCACUUGUCAAGUGCUACGCGCUUGAAAUGGUUCACCGGGCCAAUUCACCAGUGCACUUUCUUGGAGUAGUCACCACGACCGGCGUUGCUGUUGGUCUACUGGUGUCAAACCCGUCGGUUAAGAUCCUUGUGUUCUUAUUCGGUGGGGAUGGCAGGUAGCUCGUUGGCUUGUCCUUCGAGUGUUAUCAGCUGGCAUCAGUGGUAUUGUGCAGUGCGUCGGGGACGGCGGCUUGUGGUGUUGGCAUGCGUGCAUGCUCUGCUGGCAGUACCGGGUUUGGUUGUCAUGUUGCCUGUAAAAGCAGGCCUGGUAAUAGCUCGGUGUUGUUUGGUGGGCAGUGGCGUAUGUUACACUAUCACGAGGGCCUAUAGUCUGUGGUGCAGUGGUAGACCAUCCACCUGACCCGUCUUGAAACACGGACCAAGGAGAGUAACAUGUGCGCAAGUCAUUGGGCGUUACGAAACCCAAAGGCGUAGUGAAAGUAAAUGUUCGGCUUGUCCGGACUGAGGUGAGAUCCUGACGUUUCUCACGCGUGGUAUCACCAAGCGUACGAGCGUCAGGCGCAUCACCGGCCCGUCCCAUGGCGUAGUGUCACUCUUCGUAGUGGUGCAUCGUCGGGGUGGAGCAUGAGCGUACAUGUUGAGACCCGAAAGAUGGUGAACUAUGCUUGCAAAGGUUGAAGCCAGAGGAAACUCUGGUGGAGGACCGCAGCGAUUCUGACGUGCAAAUCGAUCGUCAUAUG